rnacentral:rRNA from 1 species
AUGAAAAAACAUAAAGGGGUAGUUAGAAGAAGAGGGAAGAAUGUACAAAGGGAAGGGGAAUAUACAAAAGGGGGCUAUACAAGGGAGUCAAGAAUCCCAAAUCUAAUUAUUCCACUUCAUUAUACACUAGAUCUUGCCAAUCUAUUUUUAUUGCAUGAAACUUGUACUAUUAUACAGUUCCUAGCAAUGAGACGACUGUACAAUAUGUCCAGUUCUGCCAUCAUAUGCUCAAAGUGGAUAGGUACUAGGGACAGAUUUUUGUGUGUUAAUUUAUUAAACCACAGACCACAGUUGAAUAGUACAUCCCAUCUGCAUGACAUUCUUCUCUGUCCAUCUGAAACCAUAUACCAUCACCGAUAUAAUCGAGUAGAAAUAUCAUGGAAGAGUUAG